GCCCCUGUAGCUCAGCUGGAUAGAGCAAUUGACUUCUAAUCAAUAGGUCGCAGGUUCGAAUCCUGCCGGGGAUG
rnacentral:tRNA from 1 species